rnacentral:rRNA from 1 species
GACAGAGGGUGCAAACGUUGUUCGGAAUUACUGGGCGUAAAGCGAGUGUAGGCGGUUUGGUAAGUCGGAUGUGAAAGCCCCGGGCUCAACCCGGGAAGUGCACUCGAUACUGCCAAGCUAGAGUAUCGGAGAGGUUGGUGGAAUUCUCGGUGUAGAGGUGAAAUUCGUAGAUAUCGAGAGGAACACCGGUGGCGAAGGCGGCCAACUGGACGAAUACUGACGCUGAGACUCGAAAGCGUGGGGAGCAAACAG